UACGGAGGGUGCAAGCGUUAUCCGGAUUCACUGGGUUUAAAGGGUGCGUAGGCGGGUUGGUAAGUCCGUGGUGAAAUCUCCGAGCUUAACUCGGAAACUGCCGUGGAUACUAUCAAUCUUGAAUAUCGUGGAGGUAAGCGGAAUAUGUCAUGUAGCGGUGAAAUGCUUAGAUAUGACAUAGAACACCAAUUGCGUAGGCAGCUUACUACACGAUCAUUGACGCUGAGGCACAAAAGCGUGGGGAGCAAACAGG
rnacentral:rRNA from 1 species